GGCGAUUGGGCCCGACGUUCCAGAAAAGGGCCGCCAUGGCCGCGUGACUUNAAUUGUUACGACUUCACCCCAAUCACCGACCCCACCCUCGACGCCUGCCUCCCCUUGCGCGUUGGCUCAGCGGCUUCAGGUGUUGCCGACUUUCGUGGUGUGACGGGCGGUGUGUACAAGACCCGGGAACGUAUUCACCGUGGUGUGCUGACCCACGGUUACUAGCAACUCCAACUUCAUGCAGGCGAGUUGCAGCCUACAAUCUGAACUGAGACCGAUUUUGAUGGGAUUAGCUCCCCCUCGCGGGUUGGCUGCCCGUUGUGACCGGCCAUUGUAGCGUGUGUGUAGCCCAAGGCGUAAGGGCCGUGCUGACUUGACGUCAUCCCCGACCUUCCUCCGCGUUGAUCGCGGCGGACCCGCUAGACAUCCGAGCAUAACCGCAGGGGUUGCAGCACGAUUCAGAAAUGAAAACCAUUUC
rnacentral:rRNA from 1 species